GUGCUCAUUUUGGCAGCACAUACAUACUAAAACUGGAAUGAUACAGAAAUUAGCAUGGCCCCUGCACGAGGAUGAUAUGCAAAUUUGUGAGCUGUUUUAUAUUUUU